rnacentral:rRNA from 1 species
GGGCGAUUACAGGCGGCUCACCAUGCGAGUCGACGCACCUUUCGGGGUGAGUGGCAGACGGGUGAGUAACGCGUGGGAAAACCCUUCUCUACGGGAUAGCUCCGGGAAACUGGAAAAAAUGACCAAAUAGUACGUCCUGAGGGAGAAAGAUUUAUCGGGGAAGGAUGAGCCCGCGUUGGAUUAGCUAGUUGGUGGGGUAAAGGCCUACCAAGGCGACGAUCCAUAGCUGGUCUAAGAGGAUGAUCAGCCACAUUGGGACUGAGACACGGCCCAAACUCCUACGGGAGGCAGCAGUGGGGAAUAUUGGACAAUGGGCGCAAGCCUGAUCCAGCCAUGCCGCGUGAGUGAUGAAGGCCCUAGGGUUGUAAAGCUCUUUCAGUGGGGACGAUAAUGACGGUACCCACAGAAGAAGCCCCGGCUAACUUCGUGUUUUUUUUCCGCGGUAAUACGAAGGGGGCUAGCGUUGUUCGGAAUUACUGGGCGUAAAGCGCACGUAGGCGGAUAUUUAAGUCAGGGGUGAAAUCCCGGGGCUCAACCCCGGAACUGCCUUUGAUACUGGAUAUCUUGAGUUCGGAAGAGGUAAGU